CGCAUCUGUGCAUGCAGCAUAUCAAUAAGCGGAGGAAAAGAAACUAACAAGGAUUCCCCUAGUAACGGCGAGUGAAGCGGGAAGAGCUCAAAUUUGAAAUCUUAAAGGGUUUCCCUUUACGAAUUGUAGUUUAAAGAAGUGUUUUCUGUUGAGGUUUUGGUAAAAGUUCUUUGGAAUAGGACAUCAUAGAGGGUGAGAAUCCCGUAUUUGACCUUUACUUUCAACUUUGUGAUACACUUUCAAAGAGUCGGAUUGUUUGGGAAUGCAGUCCAAAAUGGGUGGUAAAUUUCAUCUAAAGCUAAAUAUUGGCGAGAGACCGAUAGCGAACAAGUACCGUGAGGGAAAGAUGAAAAGAACUUUGAAAAGAGAGUUAAACAGUACGUGAAAUUGUCAAAAGGGAAGCGUUUGACACCAGUGUUGUUUUUCUGAAAAUCAAUUAAAGAACUGUUUAUGCUAAGCUUGUUUAGACUUUAUCAGCUAUCUGUUUAGUUUUGAGCUUUUCUUUAAUGCACUUUUCAGUUAACAAGUCAACAUCAAUUUCUUUUGCUGUAAAAAAGCUUGAGGAAGGUGACUUGAGAUUCGUCUUAAGUGUUUAUAGCCUCUUGCCUAUGCAGUCGGAGAGAUUGAGGUCUGCAGCGUAGAUCCUUCGGGGCUAAAUGCAUUUGUGCUAAGUUAUAACAUUUUAUAGACAACUUGUUGACUAUGAUUUGUCUUGUAGCUUACUCGCUUAUGUUAUUUUACCUACGCUUAGGAUGUUGAACGCGCACAGAGUCUC
rnacentral:rRNA from 1 species